GUUGUCGUCAGCUCGUGUCGUGAGAUGUGGGUUAAGUCCCGCAACGAGCGCAACCCCUAUUGCUAGUUACCAUCAUUAAGUUGGGGACUCUAGCGAGACUGCCAGUGAUAAACUGGAGGAAGGUGGGGAUGACGUCAAAUCAUCAUGCCCCUUAUGACCUGGGCUACAAACGUGAUACAAUGGCUGGAACAAAGGGAUGCGAAGCAGUGAUGUGGAGCGAAACCCAUAAAAACAGUCUCAGUUCGGAUUGAAGUCUGCAACUCGACUUCAUGAAGUCGGAAUCGCUAGUAAUCGCGGAUCAGAACGCCGCGGUGAAUACGUUCUCGGGGUUU
rnacentral:rRNA from 1 species